CUGGCAGGCUAUAGGAGUCUGUCGACUUGCGAAGAGUCAGAGACGACUGAGCGACUGAGCGUGACGAUGGAGGAAAGACUGGGAGAAGAGGCGUGGUAAAGCGGGGAAAGAAAGGGACAGAGGGGCAGAGAAGGAAGAAUAAGAAUGGGACAAAGGAAGAGGAUGGAGGGGAAAUUUGGGUGGCCCCAGACGGAGAAGAGAGUAAGAGGAAAUGAGAUGGAAUCAGGGAGGGGCAUAGUGCCUUCCUGUCUCCUGUUCUCUGGAGGCGGCACUGUUGGCUCCAUAGCUGGUGGCUUCCAGCCACAGCCGAGUCUGGGUCUGUGUCUGCAUCUGCAGGCGGCAGUUGGCAGCAGAUACACCAGUGAUACCUGCAUCAACUCUGGACCCCCGGUCAGUUGUCUUCCUUAAUGAAGUCUUCAUUCUUCUGAAGUUACUGAAAAGUGGAACUGCUGGAUGAGGAUGAAAGUUCAAGAUUCUCCAAUUUGAAACCUUCCAUGGAAUUUCAAUGUUCUUAUUAAUCCAUUAACCAAGUACUUCUUUUACAAGUUCAGCAAAAGCUCGAAAUCGGUGUCAUUGACAUCUGAUGAGUUCUGAGAACUUCUGAAGUAAAGAACCCCUGGAAAACUUCAGAUUAAACAA
ensembl:lncRNA